GUAUAAAUUUCAAGGGACACACAAAAAAAAAAAAGUCCCAUGUAUGACAUUCUGAACAAGGUGUUUCGAGAAGAAAAUACAUGCACCCCGGAGGGGUAAGGGAAAGCCGACCUUCGGACAGGCCAGCAAGCCCCAAAUAUACUCAAGUUUGCCUUGACUUUUUCCGGGGUCCACAGGAGGUGCACAGGUGGGUAAGGAAGUUUGAAGAGGCGUGCACAUGCUCCGAAAAGCCAGCGACAACCUCCCAACUGAUUCAAUAAUGAUCCUUCCGCAGGUUCACCUACGGAAA
rnacentral:misc_RNA from 1 species